UACCAGCACCCCGAGUGGUCGGGACGUUUAUUGGGCCUAAAGCAUCCGUAGCCGGUUCUACAAGUCUUCCGUUAAAUCCAACCGCUUAACAGGUGGGCUGCGGAAGAUACUAUAGAGCUAGGAGGCGGGAGAGGCAAGCGGUACUCGAUGGGUAGGGGUAAAGUCCGUUGAUCCAUUGAAGACCACCAGUGGCGAAGGCGGCUUGCCAGAACGCGCUCGACGGUGAGGGAUGAAAGCUGGGGGAGCAAACCGG
rnacentral:rRNA from 1 species